rnacentral:SRP_RNA from 1 species
GCCAGGUGCGGUGGUGCAUACCUGUAGUCCCAGCUUCUCAGGAGGAUGAAGUGGGAGGAUCGCUUGAGCCCAGGAGUUCUCAGCUGUAUGCCGAUUGGGUAUCCGCACUAAGCUCAGUAUCAAUAUGGUGACCUCCCAGGAGCAGGGUAACACCAGGUUGCCUAAGGAGGGGUGAACCGGCCCAGGUCAGAAACGGAGCAGGUCAAAACUCCUAUACUGAUCGGCAGUGGGAUGGCGCCUGUGAACAGCCACUGCACUCCAGCCUGGGCAACAUAGCGAGACCUGGUCUCU